rnacentral:rRNA from 1 species
GCCCCUAAAAGUGGGGGGAUAACACUUGGAAACAGAUGCUAAUACCGCAUAAAACCUAGCACCGCAUGGUGCAGGGUUGAAAGAUGGUUUCGGCUAUCACUUUAGGAUGGACCCGCGGUGCAUUAGUUAGUUGGUGAGGUAAAGGCUCACCAAGACCGUGAUGCAUAGCCGACCUGAGAGGGUAAUCGGCCACACUGGGACUGAGACACGGCCCAGACUCCUACGGGAGGCAGCAGUAGGGAAUCUUCCACAAUGGACGCAAGUCUGAUGGAGCAACGCCGCGUGAGUGAAGAAGGUUUUCGGAAUCGUAAAACUCUGUUGUUGGAGAAGAACGUAUUUGAUAGUAACUGAUCAGGUAGUGACGGUAUCCAACCAGAAAGCCACGGCUAACUACGUGA